UACGUAGGGUGCAAGCGUUAUCCGGAAUUAUUGGGCGUAAAGAGCUCGUAGGCGGUCUGUCACGUCGGCUGUGAAAACCCGAGGCUCAACCUCGGGCCUGCAGUCGAUACGGGCAAACUAGAGUGUUGCAGGGGAGACUGGAAUUCCUGGUGUAGCGGUGAAAUGCGCAGAUAUCAGGAGGAACACCGGUGGCGAAGGCGGGUCUCUGGGCAACAACUGACGCUGAGGAGCGAAAGCGUGGGGAGCGAACAGG
rnacentral:rRNA from 1 species